GACGAACGCUGACGGCGUGCUUUAGACAUGCAAGUCGAACGAGAAAGCCCUUCGGGGUUAGUAAAGUGGCGAACGGGUGAGUAACACGUGGGCAAUCUGCCCUUCGUUGGGGGACAACCGGGGGAAACCCCGGCUAAUACCCCGUAAGCUUGUAGGGUCGCAUGGCCCGACAAGGAGAGGUAGCUUCGGCAAUCCGGCGAAGGAGGAGCCGGCGGUACAUUAGCUCGUUGGUGAGGUAAAGGCCCACCAAGGCGACGAUGUAUAGCUGGUCUGAGAGGAUGAUCAGCCACACUGGGACUGAGACACGGCCCAGACUCCUACGGGAGGCAGCAGUCGGGAAUCUUGCACAAUGGGCGAAAGCCUGAUGCAGCAACGCCGUGUGAGCGACGAAGGCCCUAGGGUCGUAAAGCUCUGUUGUUAGGGACGUAGGGCGAAGGGUUAAUAGCCCUUAGCCUGACGGUACCUUUCGAGGAAGCCCCGGCUAACUACGUGCCAGCAGCCGCGGUAAGAC
rnacentral:rRNA from 1 species